UGCCAGCAGCCGCGGUAAUACAGAGGUCCCAAGCGUUGUUCGGAUUCACUGGGCGUAAAGGGUGCGUAGGUGGCGUGGAAAGUUUGAUGUGAAAGCUCCGGGCUCAACCCGGAAAAUGCAUUGGAUACUAUCAUGCUAGAGGAUCGGAGGGGAGACUGGAAUUCUCGGUGUAGCAGUGAAAUGCGUAGAUAUCGAGAGGAACACCAGUGGCGAAGGCGAGUCUCUGGACGAUUCCUGACACUGAGGCACGAAGGCUAGGGGAGCAAACAGGAUUAGAUA
rnacentral:rRNA from 1 species